rnacentral:tRNA from 1 species
UAGAAUGUGGUGUAAUGUGGAAGCACGGGGAAUUUUGAAUUCUCAGGUGCGGGUUCAAUACCCGUGUUUCUAG